AGCCUCAUAGCUGAGCUGGUAGAACGUACGCUGUACGAAAGCGUUGGCGGCGUCCAUGCGUGGGUUCGAAUCCCACUGAGGCAC
rnacentral:tRNA from 1 species